UGAAUUGGAAAGACGGUGUUUGCAAGUAGA
rnacentral:piRNA from 1 species